GCUGGGCAUGGUGGUGCAUGCCUGUCAUCCCAGCUACUUCGGAGGCUGAGACAGGAGGAUUGCUUGAGCCCAGGAGGCAGAGGUUGCAGUGAGCCAAGACGGUGCCACUGCACUUCAGCCUGGGUAACAGAGCAAGACUUUGCCUCCA
rfam:Pan troglodytes isolate Yerkes chimp pedigree #C0471 (Clint) chromosome 10, whole genome shotgun sequence.